rnacentral:lncRNA from 1 species
GUUUUCCGUACCCAGAGACCUAGACCGGGCAGGAGGAGGGGAGGAGAGGGGGUGGGAUAAAGUGGCCCCCGUGGACCGCUUCUCUUUGCAAGGGGGAUAACAGAGGGCCUGGCGGAUGGUCGCACGGAGUUUGCCGGAGGUCACCCCAGCCUGUUCGAGCUGUUGGGGACGGGGCGAGGGCCUGGAGCGGGGUCUCUGCAGCCAAACUGGGCACGGCGCGGCGCCCCAAGCUCUCGGGGAAAUCUGGGGGCCGUUGGCAUCACGUCAUUUAGAGCCAAACAGCAGCGGCGAAAAGAAGCAAGAGAGCUAAAAAUACUCCCGCCGGGAGCCGGCCGGAGGAGGGGGGCUGCGGGGCCGAGGGACUUAUUACGCACAUGAAGUUGACUUAGACUUGGGUGCUAAGGUUCCAAACCCCUCUCGGGGGCUGGCAGAUUUGCAGGGCGGACGCCUCGGGCGAUGGGCUGGGAGGAAGCCCCUCGGCUUCACCAGCCUCUGGAGCCCGGUUACGCCGCCACGGGCCCGCCCCGCGCGGGGCAGCCCAAGCCCGGCGCGCCCGGCUCUCUGCUUACGUGACUGGUGGCCACGCCGGAGCCCCGGCACGGGGUAAACAACGAGGUGGCGGCGGCCAGGGCGGCGGGGUGGGGGGUGGGGGGUGGGGCAGGGGGAGGUCUCCGAUUGUCUGCGGGUGCGAAGUGGGGGGCGGGACGCUGAGGAAUCUCCGACCGCCUCCUCCAUACACCUCGCUGGUGAGGGGGGGUGGCUGGGGUAGGGGGGCAAGCCAGGUUUGCCACACACUGCCAACGUGCCCUCAUGGGGUGUACCCCUAGUCAGAGCCAACGCCACGGGACAGACUCCAGAGAACUGGUAGCCGGGGAUGGGGGUAGCUGAAGAAAUCGCGCCCCUCCCCCCUGCAACAAAAGCAAACACACCAAACAAAACCACGUCUUCACCCAGCUCCCCACCAGCUCUGGCUUUUCAGAAACUACCCUCCAGACAAAUGCACACAUAGCUUCCCGCGCCCCAUCCCCCUCCGACCAGCAUGAAUAAUUGCGAAGCGAUUCGGCUGCACAGCCUGCGAUGCGCCUUUCUCGCAACCCAGGCACUCCGGGAAAACAGGCGAGAAGAGAAAGAAAAGAACGCACCACCGACCUCACAACACAAAUCCUCGUUUUGGCCUUACAGCGUCUGCACAAUUGCGCUGCCAACACACGGUUCCUUUAACCCUGAAGACCUGGGGUAUCAGUCAGCAAUGGUGUUUUUGUGUCUGAGGGUUGUUGUGUUGGGUGGGGGGAAGGUUGCAAGAUCUGACACGUUGCAAUCGGGACCUUUCUUCUUUCUUUCUCUCUCUCUCACACACACACGCGCACACGUACACACACACACUCGCGCCUCAUUGAUCUUCCUACUUGUUCGGACACAUUAAACAUCCCGGUUUCCCCCUAUCUGUCGGUCUGUCUGCCUAGUUCCCUUCCUCCUUUUCACAGCUAUUAUUCUGAGGACGGUGCUGGAUACGCUGCACACGCGUGCCCCCGUUAGGGCGCUGAGUCGACUGCCUGGGGAAAGCUGGGUGACCUGGCUGGUAGGGGCAAAAAUGAAACAAAUAAAUACAAAAAAGAAGCCAGGCCAGGGUGGGGUUCCCAGCACACCCCCACCCACGCACUACUAUCCACGUGAAUCUGGGGGUGGGCGGGUGGGGGGAGUAGAAAUCGACCAGGAAGGCGUUUGCCUUGCUUGCCCUGUGCGCUCACUCAAGAGCCGUCUCCCGGAAAAUAAAGAAAAAGCACAGAACAGCCCACACCUUCUUCCCCAACUAUUGUUUCUCAAAGAUCCCAAAGUUUCCUUCUAGCCGCGUCCCCACGGCCAAGUUUCCCGGGCUCAGGACGGCGUGUCCGGGGCGAGCUGCUGGCGUUGCUUGGCCCCGCCGGCCUCCUUCUUUGGGGGGGGGGGGGCGGCGGUGGCACCCCACGGCAACGGACGUGCAGGGGGACUGUGUCCGUAGACGUGAUGGCCUGAGCCCAGUCCUGCUGCUAGAGGGAAGGAAAAAGGCGAAGUAGGAGGGAGAGAGAGAGACAGAGCCGAGCCCACGCCGUGGAGAGCUGUUUGGUUGUUAUUGUUGUAGAACGAGCAACAGAAAAACAACACUUGUCUGCCUGAGAAGGCUCCGGAAAAAAAAAAAAAAAAAAGGAAGAAAAGCGACCUCAAAGAGAUGAGCUCUCGGCUCAGUUGUCAGCAAACAACAACACUCCCCCGCUCCUCCGCUGGGCCAUCCUCCCAGCCCCAGCCCGCCGGAGAGGACAGACCGACGCACCGACAGGCCCCUCUCCCCCUCGCCCGUCUUUGUUACAUCUUUAGCAGCUUUGUGCGUAGCUGGCGGCCUCGAGCAGAAUCUGCACGUUCUGCAGAAAAGUGUUGAUGUGCUUCUCCAUCGAGUUCUCGCUGGUGUUGAAAAUGUCUGAGAAGGGGCACCUGGGCUUGGCCCCAGCGGGGUCCUCGGGCAGGGCCGGGGGCUGGGGCGCGGCCACGGCGGGGGGCACAGCCGGGGGCGCGGCGGGGGCCAGCCCCGCGCCC